rnacentral:rRNA from 1 species
CCCUUAGAUGUUCUGGGCUGCACGCGCGCUACACUGAUGCGUUCAACGAGUUUAUGACCUUGCCCGAUAGGGUUGGGUAAUCUUUUUAAAUCGCAUCGUGAUGGGGAUAGAUUAUUGCAAUUAUUAAUCUUCAACGAGGAAUUCCUAGUAAGCGCGAGUCAUCAGCUCGUGCUGAUUACGUCCCUGCCCUUUGUACACACCGCCCGUCGCUUCUACCGAUUGAGUGAUCCGGUGAAUAAUUCGGACUGCAGCAGUGUUCAGUUCCUGAACGUUGCAGCGGAAAGUUUAGUGAACCUUAUCACUUAGAGGAAGGAGAAGUCGUAACA